CAAUUUUCCAAAAGAUGGAGGGAGCGGGGAGGACAGAGGAAGGAGAAGAGGGAAAAUGGAUGAGAAGUGUUAGUACACGUGCCAAUUUCCCAGGACAAAUGUGAUCACCGCUAAAGCUUUUUAAAACCCCAAAUCUGCAAUUUUGAUAUGACUUGAGACUUUUUUUUCUUAUCUUAAAAAUGAGAGAGUUGCUCACUGCAAAGGCAGCUCCACGAGGAUUGGAACUUUCCUCUGGGCCCACUGUAUCCCGUAGCCACCCUGCCCUUGCUGCCUGACACAGCACAGGCGCGCAGGUGUUUGUUGAAUGCAUUUGUGAGAAACUGCUUGAAACAACACUGAAGUGUGCAGCCGAAAGCGCGGCACACAGCUCACACUCGGUGAAGAGGCACUCGGCCACCUCUGCCGCUGCUCAGGAAGAUGAUUUUUACGAGGGCUGGGUUGCAGCUGCUUCCGGGGAAAGACCCGGGUUCCAGCCUCGCGUCUCCACUGACCGGCCCUGGGACGUAGGCCAAAUACUUAGCCUGCUGGGUUCCUUUUGCGGUAACCAGAGGUUGUUAGGGAACCCCUAACCAGAGUGCAAGCUCCGCCAGCACGGGACCCUGGCUGCCCGUGGACCCAGAGCGCGGCCCCCCUGAGCACUCCACGGUGGCCGAGGCAGGAAGGUGUCAACGUCUCAGACCGGAACCGCUAGCUGCGACCCGAGCGUGUUAACCCCAGGCUUGACAGCUCCCACCAAAGGAAGCCGUUCUCACCACCCGCAGCCAGUCGGACUGACCAAGCCUGGCGCAGGACGGCGGACUGUCUGAAGAUCAGCGCCAAGACCCUUCUCUGUAGGUCUGUCUGACGCAGAGGGUCCCCAGACUCAGCGUCUGUUCUCGCGGGACCACAGUUCCCAGCAUGCCUUGCGGGGAAGUAGGUCUCGCUGGAUGACUACCAAUCCCGGCAUGCCGUUCGGCAUCCCGUCCGUUGAGCGGCAGCUCAGAGAGGCCGCAUUGCAUAUAGGGGGAUGUAGUCCGCUCUCUCUCCAGCUAGCCAAUGGGCGGGGCAGAGCCGGGUGGCUCACGUCGGCUGAAGAGAAUGAUUCAUAGAGGAGGGUCAGGAGAGAACCGCUCUGUACCGCAGAACCCUCUAUAUAGACUGGACUUAUCUUCUCCGAGGCCGGGAGCUGGACGGAAGCACUCGCGGCCGCAGGUCUGACGCCGCUUCGCGGGCCUGCCCCGCGUUCUGGGCCUCCAGAAGUCAGGCGGCCGCCAGCUCCGGCGGCCGGGAGCCGUGACGUCUCGGGGUGAAAGUUGAGGGGCGGUGACGUCUGGCCGGCCGGGCGGAGGCUGGCGGGCUGGAGCCCGGAGGGAGGGAGGGAGGGAAGGAGGGAAGGAAGGAAGCUGGGAAGGAGAGAGCGAGCGGGGGCGCGAGGCGUUCACCUGGAGGCAGCGCUCGGGCGGGCGCGCGAGCGGCCGCGGCUCCCGCACCUGCGGCCAUGGACGAGGAGCGCGCCCUCUACAUCGUCCGAGCCGGCGAGGCGGGCGCAAUCGAGCGGGUCCUGCGGGACUACAGCGACAAGCAUAGGGCUACUUUCAAGUUUGAAUCAACAGAUGAAGAUAAAAGAAAGAAACUCUGUGAAGGCAUAUUUAAAGUCCUUGUAAAGGAUGUCCCAACAUCGUGUCAGGUGUCCUGCCUGGAAGUACUCCGUAUUCUCUCCAGAGAUAAAAAGAUUUUAGUUCCUGUAACAACUAAGGAAAACAUGCAGAUACUGCUGAGACUAGCCAAGCUGAAUGAGUCAGAUGAUUCUUUGGAGAAGGUGUCCGAAUUCCCCGUUAUUGUGGAGUCGCUGAAGUGUCUGUGUAACAUAGUGUUCAACAGUCAGACGGCGCAGCAGCUCAGCCUGGAGCUUAAUCUUGCUGCAAAGCUCUGUAACCUCCUAAGAAAGUGCAAGGACCGGAAGUUUAUCAGUGACAUUAAAUGCUUUGACCUGCGCUUGCUCUUCCUCCUGUCACUUUUGCACACUGACAUCAGGUCACAGUUGCGCUAUGAGCUCCAAGGACUACCGCUGCUAACCCAGGUCUUGGAAAGUGCCUUUAGCAUCAAGUGGACCGAUGAGUAUGAGUCGGCCGUAGACCGUAAUGGGCCUCCGCUCUCACCUCAGGAGACAGACUGUGCUGUUGAAGCUCUCAAAGCUCUCUUCAACGUGACAGUAGACAGUUGGAAGGUGCCCAAAGAGAGUGAUUCUCAUCAGUUCCGUGUCAUGGCAGCUGUCCUUCGCCAUUGUUUACUAAUCGUAGGUCCAAGUGAAGACAAAACUGAAGAGCUGCACAGCAAUGCAGUCAACCUUUUAAGCAAUGUUCCGGUCUCUUGUUUGGAUGUUCUCAUUUGUCCGUUAACCCAUGAAGAAACAGCCCAAGAAGCGACGACUCUAGAUGAACUGCCCAGUGAUAAAGCCGCUGAGAAAGACGCCGUUUUACAAAACAGUACUGUGGUGUACAAUGGUAUGAACAUGGAGGCCAUUCAUGUUCUACUCAGUUUUAUGGAGAAGAGAAUAGACAAGGGAAGCAGCUAUAGAGAGGGUCUAACUCCAGUUCUCAGCUUAUUAACAGAAUGUUCCCGGGCCCACCGAAACAUCAGAAAAUUUCUCAAAGAUAAGGUUUUACCACCCUUGAGGGAUGUCACAAACCGACCUGAAGUUGGCUCGACUGUGAGAAACAAGCUGGUGCGCCUCAUGACACAUGUUGACCUUGGCGUUAAGCAGAUCGCUGCUGAGUUCCUUUUUGUCCUUUGCAAAGAGAGAGUGGACAGCCUACUGAAGUACACUGGCUAUGGGAAUGCUGCAGGACUGUUGGCUGCCAGGGGCCUCUUGGCUGGAGGAAGAGGAGAUAAUUGGUACUCAGAGGAUGAGGAUACAGACACUGAGGAAUACAAAAAUGCAAAACCAAACAUUAAUCUUAUCACUGGUCAUUUAGAGGAACCAAUGCCAAACCCCAUAGAUGAAAUGACAGAAGAACAAAAAGAAUAUGAAGCCAUGAAACUUGUCAACAUGCUUGAUAAACUUUCCAGGAGAGCAGAUGUGAAGGACCCGCACCAGGAUGGUGGUUAGCAACAGUGGCCCGUGCCAAAGCCCUUACCAAAGUGAUGACUAAGACCCUGUCAUUAAUUCCAUGUGUCAAUACUGCCCUGUAGUACACAGAGCAGACAAGAAAGAAGAGCCCUUGAAAACAAGGGAAUGAUUUUUGAGUCGUUAUCAAGCUAAGUGGCAAGCGGGAAGCUGAAACUCGUAUAGUUGAACAUUCUUGGAGGCUUAUCUCUUCCCUGGCCAGAUGCCUGAUCAGAUGAGAAGCCCGCCAUGAUACUGUCACAGAGCCUAGAAUGAGCUCUUUAUCCAGUAGACAUCACUGUACUUUUUGAUGAUAACAAGGGCAGUCUUAACCUAUGUUAAGGCCUGUGUAUAGCAUUGAAGAGAAGAGUUGCUUAAGCCAAUGGGACUAAAGCCUGAUGGGACAAUAACGCCUUUGGAGGAAGCACUCAGCCAGUACUCUGUCAUUGAAGAGACCAGCUCCGACACAGACUGACGGCUCGUGUGCUCUGCGCUCAGUGUCGCUUUUAUCAGCAGCUUUUCUCUGUAGCUCCAGGGGAAUCCUUUCUCUAAAACAUUUAUGCCCUGCUUUGGCUAGAAACACAUUUACUGGUUUACUCGUUGAGACUCCAGCAUAUUUAAGAGGUGAUCCUGUGUUUUUGCGAUUUUGAGGCAUUUGUUCUGAGCUGCGGUAGAGUGUUACAGGGGCUGGAGGCAGCAGCUUUCUCUGUCCCAGUGGGGUGCAGCCAAGGACCUCGUCCCGCGGCAUCCCUGGCAAGUCUGCAGUCCUCUUUGCUAGCUUCUGAGCAGCACACGCGGCCGUGCCCUUCCCCGGCUUGCCUGGGUGAGCAGCCCCUUGUGAAAGUCCACGGCUGCCGGAGGUCCAGGGUGAGCUGGUCGGUAAGGGCUGAGCAGGGCGCCCAGGCCGGGCUGGUGGUACGGAAGCCAGGCAGCUGCUCUGUGAGCCAGCCCCGUUCCCCAUUUCAGUUUUAUAUGUUCAGAAACACACACACGCGCGCAGAGCCCCAGACUCAGGCCUGUCUCCCCUAAGUGCUCCUGUGUCCCUGAGCUGCAGUUUCUCGACACACCCUCCCUGUGGAGCGUCUCGGACAGUGGCUUUGUUCCAGGCAGCUUCAAGUGCCUAUUUAUUCCCUGACGCACCUAAACACUAAGACCACAGACCCAAACCACCAUCUGGACCCCAGCAUGGGGAGUGUGCGCCCUGAGGCAGCACCAGCCUGUUGGAGCCAAACAUCCUCCGCCUGCAGAGGGAGCAGAGACCCCCCAAGUUGUGGGACUGGGAAAGCACCCAUUUGUACAUAAACGUCGUUCAUCCGUCCUGCGUUUUAAACUGGGGGCAGCGUGUGUGCGGGUGUGUGUGCGGGAGUGUGCGUGCGCGUGUGUGUGCUACCUUUCUACCAAAUGCGAUCAGUUUAAUGGUAACUUUAUUUAUUAAAAAAAGAAACACAGAUAGUUACUAUUAAACUGAUUAAGGCUGUUUAUUUUUACUGUUAGAACUGGUCAUAUGAAGAAGUAGAAAUGUACUCAUCCAGUAGACAGUGGGCCUAGUAAAUCAAUGGCUGAAGUUGAAAAGGGUUGGUUUCCUUUUAUAUGUAUGUAUGUAUGUAUGUACGUACGUGUGCAUAGGGACACAUACAUACAUAUAUAUACACACAUAGAUAAUGUGCUUAACCACUGCCUUUUAAAACUUUAAAUAAAACAUUGGGGUUGAUUCAAUGUAGACAUCUGUGUGUUUCUUCGCAGGGCUGAGGGAUAACCCGCUCACAGUCUGAUCUUCAGAAGUCCUCGUCCUUUGUUAGCUCACUGGUCACCAUGACAGCUUUCAGGGUAGAUACAGUAUGUGGCGGAUCAGUGAGAAUUCCUGUGCCCAAGUUUCUGCUCUGGUGAGCCCGAGCCCAGCCAGCAGCUCGCCUGACGCCUUCAGGCUGCGAGGAGAUAGCGAGGGCGGCGCCUGCUGCCUGCGCCGGAGCCUCCAAGGAGCUCGCUCUUCGCCUCUUCGCUGACAUUUGCAUACAUUUUUAAUAUGCUAAAGAAUCUGGUUUUCUAGC